GACGAACGCUGGCGGCGUGCUUAACACAUGCAAGUCGAACGAAGAGCGAUGGAAGCUUGCUUCUAUCAAUCUUAGUGGCGAACGGGUGAGUAACGCGUAAUCAACCUGCCCUUCAGAGGGGGACAACAGUUGGAAACGACUGCUAAUACCGCAUACGAUCUAAUCUCGGCAUCGAGGAUAGAUGAAAGGUGGCCUCUACAUGUAAGCUAUCACUGAAGGAGGGGAUUGCGUCUGAUUAGCUAGUUGGAGGGGUAACGGCCCACCAAGGCGAUGAUCAGUAGCCGGUCUGAGAGGAUGAACGGCCACAUUGGGACUGAGGCACGGCUCAGACUCCUACGGGAGGCAGCAGUGGGGAAUCUUCCGCAAUGGACGAAAGUCUGACGGAGCAACGCCGCGUGAGUGAUGACGGCCUUCGGGUUGUAAAGCUCUGUUAAUCGGGACGAAAGGCCUUCUUGCGAAUAGCGAGAAGGAUUGACGGUACCGGAAUAGAAAGCCACGGCUAACUACGUG
rnacentral:rRNA from 1 species